UGACGGUACCUGCAGAAGAAGGAGCGGCCAACUAUGUGCCAGCAGCCGCGGUGAUACAUAGGCUUCAAGCGUUGUCCGGAUUUAUUGGGCGUAAAGAGUUCGUAGGCGGUCGAGUAAGUCGGGUGUGAAAAUUCUGGGCUCAACCCAGAGACGCCACCCGAUACUGCUUAACUUGAGUUCGAUAGGGGAGUGGGGAAUUCCUAGUGUAGCGGUGAAAUGCGCAGAUAUUAGGAGGAACACCGGUGGCGAAGGCGCCACUCUGGAUCGAUACUGACGCUGAGGAACGAAAGCAUGGGUAGCAAACAGGAUUAGAUACCCUGGUAGUCCAUGCGGUAAACGGUGGGCACUAGGUGUGGGUUUCUAUUAACGAAAUCCGCGCCGUCGCUAACGCAUUAAGUGCCCCGCCUGGGGAGUACGGUCGCAAGACUAAAACUCAAAGGAAUUGACGGGG
rnacentral:rRNA from 1 species